GUGGGGAAUAUUGGACAAUGGGCGCAAGCCUGAUCCAGCCAUGCCGCGUGAGUGAUGAAGGCCUUAGGGUUGUAAAGCUCUUUUGUCCGGGAAGAUAAUGACUGUACCGGAAGAAUAAGCCCCGGCUAACUUCGUGCCAGCAGCCGCGGUAAUACGAAGGGGGCUAGCGUUGUUCGGAAUCACUGGGCGUAAAGCGCACGUAGGCGGACCAUUAAGUCAGGGGUGACAGCCUGGAGCUCAACUCCAGAACUUCGUUUGAUACUGAUGGUCUCGAGUUCGGAAGAGGUUGGUGGAACUGCGAGUGUAGAGGUGAAAUUCGUAGAUAUUCGCAAGAACACCAGUGGCGAAGGCGGCCAACUGGUCCGAUACUGACGCUGAGGUGCGAAAGCGUGGGGAGCAAACAGGAUUAGAAACCCCUGUAGUCC
rnacentral:rRNA from 1 species